rnacentral:sRNA from 1 species
CUGAUGCAGAAACCAAUAAACAAGGAGGCACCCAAUAAAUACAUUCUUAGAAAGUGUAAUAUGUGCUUUGUAGGAAAGCAAUGGGGGUAGUGUAAUUGAGAUUCAUGGGGGAGAGCUGUUUAGAUAGGAUGGUCAGAGAAGGGGUCUUUAAUGCCGCAAAGGAUGAGGAGAGAGCCAAAUAACACAGAGAAGAGUGUUUGGGGUACAGAAAACAGUCAGUGCAAGGGCACUGCAGUAGGAGGGGCUUGCACAUUUGAGGAACAGGUUGGUGGUCCCUGUGGCCAGAGCAAAUUGAGAAGAGUGCCGAGGAAGAGAUGUGCUUGGAAAGGGUCAGAUUCAUGCCACUGGGAUGGGAAGAGGUAAGUGGAGGUUCACAGGAGGUUUCCUGAAGAAAUCAGCUCCUGGAGGAAGUGAGGGAAGAAAAAAAGGGCCAGGGAGUGCCAUGGCAACCAAUUCUGAGAGGUGAGAGGUCAUGGGAUGCCAGGGAGGGUGAUCAGCAGACAGGCCUGGGUGGAGUGGAAGGGCACGAUCUGGAGGUCCCAGCCCUGUCAUUGCCUUGGGAGAAAGAAAACGGCCACAGGUCUAAGGGCUCCAAGGCAAGGCUGAUGGGAUAGAGCUAUGGUGGGUGAAAUGGGGUGACAGUGAGGCAGGGGACACAAGCCGUUCCAUUGUCUUUCUGUCUCUCCACAGCGCCGCCCCUGGCUGGGGGCACCCCUGCAGGUGGGACUGGUGGGCUUCUGCCUGGUAUUUGCAACCCCCCUGUGCUGUGCCCUAUUCCCCCAGAAGAGCUCCAUACACAUGAGCAAGCUGGAACCAGAGCUGAGAGCUCAGAUCCAUGAGCAAAACCCCAGCGUUGAAGUGGUCUACUACAACAAGGGGCUUUGAGGAGGGUCAGCCUCUGUCCCCUCCCUCACUUCCUUGGGCUGCUGCUUUAGUGGAGUCAUGUCACCCCUACCACUUGGCUAUCUGCCUAGCACUGGGCAGGGGCCUUGGUGGGCAGAUGGCAAUUGAGGGUAGCAACCUAUUAGGGUGGGGGAGGGACCUCCAUAAGGCUUUUCCUCCCUUCUCUGGUUUCAAAGAUCAGAGCACAUAACCCCUCCUGUGCUUGAGUGUCCAUGCAUAUACAUACAUGAUACACAUGUGUAUGUGUACAUUGGGUCCUGAAAGCUAGAAGCAGGCAUGCUAGCCUAGUAUGUUCUGACAUCUGGCUUCCCUUCUCAGCCUCAUGUCCGCCUGCCUGCCAGCCAGGCUACAGGUGGGACUUCCUUCUCUAAACUGUUACACCAGCCAAGUUAUUUUUGAUGGCACCUCAUCCCUUCUAGACAUAGGAGGAGCCCCAGGAUCUCAGGACAGAGACUGAUAGACACUAGUAGGACAAAGUGGGCUGAAUCCUUCAGGUUUCUGAUACCUAGCUCCCCAAGCUGACUGGGCUGGCAGAGGAGAACAUGUUGGGACAAGGGAGGCAGGGGACUUAUGCAUCCCUCAGUGCCAUCCCUUGUAUCCUGGAAUAGCUCCAUUUCCCCUCCUCCUCUCUACCAGACAAAGGAGUGCCUGUGUCCUGUACUGCCCUCGCUGUCUCCCCCACCACCCUACUCGACAGCGUGGGCAUCUUCAGGCACAGCCUUGGGAGUUCCUGGUGUGCUCUGACAUCAUGACCUCAAAUCUAAAUCCUCCAAUCCCAACUCCCUUUCCCAAACAAAAAGCCACAGAGGCAGAGCAAGCAUUCCCCUUUAAGAGCUUCCACUGCACCCCCUCCCAACGGACACAGCUGUAGGAAUGGUGCUUAAACUCCACAGGUAUCAGAGAGGGUGUAACUAGGACAUCCUCAAGGGCAGCUAGGCCCCGAAUGUACAAUGUUAAGACAGGGAAUUUUGUGUUCCAUUGACUUUUUUUUUUUUUUUUUGAUGGAGUUUCACUAUUUUGCCCAGGCUGGAGUGCAAUGGUGCGAUCUUGGCUCACUGCAACCUCUGCCUCCUGGGUUCAAGUGAUUCUCUUGCCUCAGUCUCCCGAGUAGUGGAAAUUACAGGUGUGUGCUACCACAUCUUGCUAGUUUUGUAUUUUUAGCAGAGAUGGGGGUUUCACCAUGUUGGCCAGGCUAGUCUCGAACUCCUGACCUCAGGUGAUCCACCUGCCUUGGCCUCCCAAAGCGCUGGGAUUACAAGCAUGAGCCACCGCGCCCAGCCUGUUCCACUGACAUUUCUUAGACAUUCAGCAAAACCCCCACCUUAACCUCUUUUCUUUCUUGAGGGUUGGUCCUGUCCCCACCUCCACCCUCCCACCCCCUGGAAGAGGAAGGGCCCGGGCAUCAGUGGCUAGUCCAAAUAAAAUAUGGGCUUGGGGAUGGAAUGGGUGGUGGUAAGUUCACAGAGUGUAGUUAGAUCCCAACUCCCAUGACCUCUGGCUUCAGUGGUGGGUGGGGCAGGGCAGAUGAAAGGGCUUCAGUGGGAACCUCUGAGAGCAUUUUCCUGUUCCCCCUAUCAACCGCCCCCAGUGAUAACAUCUGUGAAGCCAGCCAUUACUCAAUAAACUGCAAAAUUGUCU